UGCACCCAUUACUGUUAGUCGCUUUGGAUAAAAGUGUCUGCCAAAUGGAAUAUA
rfam:Salmo salar isolate Sally breed double haploid chromosome ssa17, whole genome shotgun sequence.